rnacentral:rRNA from 1 species
UGGGGAAUAUUGGGCAAUGGGCGCAAGCCUGACCCAGCAACGCCGCGUGAAGGAAGAAGGCUUUCGGGUUGUAAACUUCUUUUGUCGGGGACGAAACAAAUGACGGUACCCGACGAAUAAGCCACGGCUAACUACGUGCCAGCAGCCGCGGUAAUACGUAGGUGGCAAGCGUUAUCCGGAUUUACUGGGUGUAAAGGGCGUGUAGGCGGGAUUGCAAGUCAGAUGUGAAAACUGGGGGCUCAACCUCCAGCCUGCAUUUGAAACUGUAGUUCUUGAGUGCUGGAGAGGCAAUCGGAAUUCCGUGUGUAGCGGUGAAAUGCGUAGAUAUACGGAGGAACACCAGUGGCGAAGGCGGAUUGCUGGACAGUAACUGACGCUGAUGCUCGAAAGUGUGGGUAUCAAACAGGAUUAGAUACCC